GUUGCUUCUAUCCUGAAAGAGUGGCCUGAUCUAUCCAUUGGGUCGUUCUGUAGAGAGAAGCAUAGAUUUAUUGGUCAGUAUUAAACAACACGGUGUCUUAUUGUUGGCAUCUUGUUACCUGUCUCCUGAUAAAUGU